CGGGGAGAUUGGUGACAUCAUCUCCUGCAGAAGUGUCCCCAGUCAGGGCUGAACAUUCAUCCUGUUUCCUGUGUUCAUGGAGCUGUGGUGUUGCCUAGGCCCACCUUUACCAGGAUUAUUGAAGCAAUUAUCAAUAUUAUUUGUGAACAAAGCAAAGUCACUCAAAGAUCUGGAAACUGUGUUACAAGCACUAACCACAGGUUCCUGUAAGAAGCCACAAAACUGAAACUAAAUACUGAGGAACACCAAAAACAAUUUAAAACAAAGGACAAAAUGAGGAAUCUACAAUGAAUAAAGUUCAUUGCUUUCCUGUAAUGGCCA
rnacentral:lncRNA from 1 species